rnacentral:rRNA from 1 species
UACGUAGGGCGCAAGCGUUGUCCGGAUUUAUUGGGCGUAAAGAGCUCGUAGGCGGCUUGUCGCGUCGAAAGUGAAAACUUCUGGCUUAACUGGGAGCUUGCUUUCGAUACGGGCUGGCUGGAGUGUGGUAGGGGAGACUGGAAUUCCUGGUGUAGCGGUGAAAUGCGCAGAUAUCAGGAGGAACACCGGUGGCGAAGGCGGGUCUCUGGGCCAUUACUGACGCUGAGGAGCGAAAGCGUGGGGAGCGAACAGG